CUCAUCCUUUCCUACUCUCUUCCUCUACCAUUCUUGGAAGUUUGAGGGCUGAUUUUGAUGGCAUUCUUGGGCUUGUUCUUGGACCAUAGAGUUUGAUCAUCUCUUGACUCAAGGAGAUGAAACUUCAAGCAAGGGAAAGGAGCCGGUGGAGAAGUAACACUGGAGGUUUUUAGCUUGCCAAGUUUGGCAUGGAGAAGCCGUGGAAGACACGAAGAUAUGAUUUGGGCAAAAAAAGAGAAGAAAACCAAGUCAUAAUACUGUAGCAUAUUUUACUUUAGUUGGAGUAACGUAGCAAGAUUACUGCAGCAACCACUGUAGCACCUGUAGAAUUUUCGAGUCGGGAAUUGAUCUAGGCCAUACGACCUCAAUGCAACCCGGGAUUGACCCCGGGAUUGAUACUAUAGCCAAAGAAGAGAAGAAUUUGCUUGAAGGCAUACUGCCUCAAUGAGGCCAUGAUAGACCCUGAGAUUGACCCCGGGAUACAUGGUUUUGGGGCAUGAUAAAAGGGCACUUCUAGGGCAAAGCAAAGGGGCUUUUCCUUGGCCGUUUGGGCCACAGCCACCACACUUUCUUGAGGCUUUCCGGCCACCUUCCGGUGAUGAUCCUUGUGGGGAACGAGCACACUUCAUCACCAAGAGGGAGAGGAGCAAAGGAGAAGGAGUUGGAGUGAAGU